rnacentral:rRNA from 1 species
CGGUGAGGAAACCCCGAGAGGGGGCUAUAGGAGGGGUCUGCGGCGGAUUAGCUAGAUGGUGGGGUAAAGGCCUACCAUGGCGACGAUCCGUAGCUGGUCUGAGAGGACGGCCAGCCACACUGGGACUGAGAUACGGCCCAGACUCCUACGGGAGGCAGCAGUAAGGAAUAUUCCACAAUGGGCGAAAGCCUGAUGGAGCGACGCCGCGUGCGGGACGAAGCCUUUCGGGGUGUAAACCGCUUUUAGAGGGGAUGAAACGGUGGGGUAACUCACCUAAGACAGUACCUUCUGAAUAAGCAUCGGCUAACUACGUGCCAGCAGCCGCGGUAAUACGUAGGAUGCGAGCGUUGUCCGGAUUUACUGGGCGUAAAGAGCGCGCAGGCGGCACGGUAAGUAAGGUGUGAAAUCUCCCUGCUCAACGGGGAGGGUGCACCAUAGACUGCCGAGCUAGAGGGCGGUAGAGGGUGGUGGAAUUGCUGGUGUAGCGGUGAAAUGCGUAGAGAUCAGCAGGAACACCCGUGGCGAAGGCGGCCACCUGGGCCGCACCUGACGCUGAGGCGCGAAGGCUAGGGGAGCGAACGGGAUUAGAUACCCCGGUAGUCCUAGCAGUAAACGAUGUCCACUAGGUGUGGGGGGUUGUUGACCCCUCCUGUGCCGAAGCUAACGCAUUAAGUGGACCGCCUGGGGAGUACGGUCGCAAGACUAAAACUCAAAGGAAUUGACGGAAUCGAAUU